GCAUGUCUUUGUGUGUGUGUUUACCUGUAGUGACUAGGAAUGUGUGUGUGCGUGAGUAUGGAAGAGUGUAUGUUACCUGUAUAGGUAGAUACAGGUUGUUACCUGUAUAGGUAUAUACAGGUGUAAGUAAUAAGGCUUUUGGGUCAAACCAUUAUGUUGGUCACAUGAUUGUCAACAUGGGUUUUAUUGGUUAUGAUAAGAUAGUACAUAUGUUUUUAUUGGUUUAUAUUUUCCCUCCACUUUUAUUGUUUGUGUCUAAGUCUUUGUGUUGAAUCUGGCAGUUUUUCUGCUGGAAGUUCAAGAAGAAGGUACCGGUUCUACCUGUACAUCCGUCCGGCAUUUCAAAAGUUAUGGCGAUAGAUUUCCGACGUGGUUUUGGAAGAUAAAUUCAGUGAUCUACUCCUGACCCUGGGUCAACUUGUUUAGAUCUAAUCAGAAGAUUAGAUUGCCAGAGAAAGUUCAGCCCAUAGCAGAACUUGAAUUGAAUCUGGAAUUCGGAUACUGAACCGAAAUGGAUUGAAUAAAUAAUGAGAACAACC